rnacentral:rRNA from 1 species
AGCAGCCGCGGUAAUUCCAGCUCCAAUAGCGUAUAUUAAAGUUGUUGCAGUUAAAAAGCUCGUAGUUGAAUUUCGGGAUCAGUUGGUCGGUCGUGCCUCGGUACGUACUGGUCAAAUUGAUUCCUACCUUCUGACGAACCACGAUGUCAUUAAUUUGGUGUCGCGGGAAAUCAGGACUGUUACUUUGAAAAAAUUAGAGUGUUUAAAGCAGGCUCGCGCUUGAAUACAUUAGCAUGGAAUAAUGAAAUAGGACGUUUGAUUCUAUUUUGUUGGUUUCUAGGAUCGACGUAAUGAUUAAUAGGGAUAGUUGGGGGCAUUAGUAUUCAAUUGUCAGAGGUGAAAUUCUUGGAUUUAUUGAAGACUAACUACUGCGAAAGCAUUUGCCAAGGAUGUUUUCAUUAAUCAAGAACGAAAGUUAGGGGAUCGAAGACGAUCAGAUACCGUCGUAGUCUUAACCAUAAACUAUGCCGACUAGGGA